UACGGGGGGGGCAAGCGUUGUUCGGAUUCAUUGGGCGUAAAGGGUGCGUAGGUGGCUAGGUAAGUCGGAUGUGAAAUCUCGGGGCUCAACCCCGAAACUGCAUUCGAUACUGCCUGGCUAGAGUACUGGAGAGGAGAUUGGAAUUUACGGUGUAGCAGUGAAAUGCGUAGAUAUCGUAAGGAAGACCAGUGGCGAAGGCGGAUCUCUGGACAGUUACUGACACUGAGGCACGAAGGCCAGGGGAGCAAACGGG
rnacentral:rRNA from 1 species